rnacentral:misc_RNA from 1 species
AAGUCGUAACAAGGUUUCCGUAGGUGAACCUGCGGAAGGAUCAUUAACACGUUAUCCACGUAUCAACCAACGCGAAUUGUUUUCACUCUCCCCUCUGGAUCAUGAAUUGCGGGCCUGUAGAGUCGUUGAAUGGGGCCUUAGGGCCGACUCUACUCACCUCUGACUUAGCGUAGUUACCUACGUUGGGUUGGCAAUUGAAUUUCAACAGGAGGGCUCCUCUCGCUGACCUGCCUCCAUUCCUGGCGUUUCAGUGGGAACCUAUUUUACACUAUUCACCCCUUUUUUUGCUAGUUGACUUUUAUAUGUUGUAUCUUUGCUUCGGCAACGGUGCACACGUUUAAUUAUUUGAACGUUAAAAAUACAACUCUUAGCAAUGGAUAUCUUGGUUCUC